AUUGAACGCUGGCGGCAGGCCUAACACAUGCAAGUCGAACGAGUGGCGGACGGGUGAGUAAUGCGUAGGUAACUGCCUCAUAGCGGGGGAUAACUAUUGGAAACGAUAGCUAAUACCGCAUACUGUGAGAUGGACCUGCGUUGUAUUAGCUAGUUGGUGAGGUAAAGGCUCACCAAGGCGACGAUACAUAGCCGACCAGAGAGGGUGAUUGGCGACAAUGGGACUGAGACACGGGCCAGACUAGUACGGAAGGCAGCAGGAGGGAAUAUUCGGCAAUGGGCGGAAGUCUGACCGAGCAACGGCGAGUGAGUGAAGAAGGUUUUCGGAUCGUAAAGCUCUGUUGUUAGAGAAGCGUUAGCGAACCAGAAAGGGACGGCAAACUACGUGCCAGAAGCCGCGGUAAUUC
rnacentral:rRNA from 1 species